UACGUAGGGUGCAAGCGUUGUCCGGAAUUAUUGGGCGUAAAGAGCUCGUAGGCGGUCUGUCGCGUCUGCUGUGAAAACUCAGGGCUUAACCCUGAGCUUGCAGUGGGUACGGGCAGACUAGAGUGCGGUAGGGGAGACUGGAAUUCCUGGUGUAGCGGUGAAAUGCGCAGAUAUCAGGAGGAACACCGGUGGCGAAGGCGGGUCUCUGGGCCGUAACUGACGCUGAGGCACGAAAGCUAGGGGAGCAAACAGG
rnacentral:rRNA from 1 species